rnacentral:rRNA from 1 species
UGGUGGAGUGAUUUGUCUGGUUAAUUCCGUUAACGAACGAGACCUCUUCGUGCUAACUAGUAAAAAGUACAAAAUGUAGUUUGUAACUUCUUAGCCGGACCCUUGGCGACUAGCCAAGGGAAGCUGGAGGCAAUAACA